UACGUAGGGAGCAAGCGUUGUCCGGAAUCAUUGGGCGUAAAGCGCGCGUAGGUGGCUUCGUAAGUCCGUUGUGAAAGUCAAAGGCUCAACCUUUGAAAGCCGAUGGAUACUGUGGAGCUAGAGUACGGAAGAGGCGAGUGGAAUUCCUGGUGUAGCGGUGGAAUGCGCAGAUAUCAGGAGGAACACCAAUAGCGAAGGCAGCUCGCUGGGACGUUACUGACACUGAGGCGCGAAAGCGUGGGGAGCGAACAGGA
rnacentral:rRNA from 1 species